UACGUAGGGUGCAAGCGUUAUCCGGAUUUACUGGGCGUAAAGGGUGUGCAGGCGGGUCAUUAAGUGGUGUAUGAAAUCGCCCGGCUCAACCGGGCGAGGUUAUGCCAGACUGGUGGUCUAGAGAGCGAGAGAGGGUCGCGGAAUUCCCGGUGUAGAGGUGAAAUUCGUAGAUAUCGGGAGGAACACCAGUGGCGAAGGCGGCGACCUGGGCCAAUACUGACGCUGAGGUGGACGAAAGCGUGGGGAGCAAACAGG
rnacentral:rRNA from 1 species